CAGUCGCCGCGGGAAUACGUAGGGUGCAAGCGUUGUCCGGAAUUAUUGGGCGUAAAGAGCUCGUAGGCGGUUUGUCGCGUCUGCUGUGAAAUCUGGGGGCUCAACCCCCAGCCUGCAGUGGGUACGGGCAGACUAGAGUGCGGUAGGGGAGAUUGGAAUUCCUGGUGUAGCGGUGGAAUGCGCAGAUAUCAGGAGGAACACCGAUGGCGAAGGCAGAUCUCUGGGCCGUAACUGACGCUGAGGAGCGAAAGCAUGGGGAGCGAACAGGAUUAGAUACCCCCGUAGUCCCUGUCUCGUAUAC
rnacentral:rRNA from 1 species